UACGUAGGGUGCAAGCGUUAAUCGGAAUUACUGGGCGUAAAGCGUGCGCAGGCGGUUAUGUAAGACAGUUGUGAAAUCCCCGGGCUCAACCUGGGAACUGCAUCUGUGACUGCAUUGCUGGAGUGCGGCAGAGGGGGAUGGAAUUCCGCGUGUAGCAGUGAAAUGCGUAGAUAUGCGGAGGAACACCGAUGGCGAAGGCAAUCCCCUGGGCCUGCACUGACGCUCAUGCACGAAAGCGUGGGGAGCAAACAGG
rnacentral:rRNA from 1 species